rnacentral:rRNA from 1 species
UGCAGUCGACGGGUCUUUAGGGACAAGUGGCGGACGGGUGAGUAACGCGUGAGAAUGUGCCUUCAGGAUGGGGAUAACAAUAGGAAACUAAUGCUAAGACCCAAUGUGCCUUAAGGGGUGAAAAAUGAAAAUUGCCUGAAGAGGAGCUCGCGUCUGAUUAGCUAGUUGGGGUGGUAAAAGCGCACCAAGGCGACGAUCAGUAGCUGGUCUGAGAGGAUGAGCAGCCACACUGGGACUGAGACACGGCCCAGACUCCUACGGGAGGCAGCAGUGGGGAAUUUUCCGCAAUGGGCGAAAGCCUGACGGAGCAAUACCGCGUGAGGGAGGAAGGCUCUUGGGUUGUAAACCUCAAAACUUAGGGAAGAAAAAAAUGACGGUACCUAAUAUAAGCAUCGGCUAACUCCGUGCCAGCAGCCGCGGUAAUACG